UAUGAAUGCUAAGCAUACCUUGAGACGACAUUUAUGUGAAGUGAAAGAGGCGAUCCAAGGUGCUGUGCGCCAGGGUUUUUUUUGUCUUGAGUAGGUUUUGAGAUUCCCUGGAAAUACCCUUAGAUUUUGGAUUCUUCCUGAUGAAGGAGAUGGCAAGCCACCAUUGAACCCGAUCACCUCCUUACCCCGAGGAGUUGGACCGAGAUCACCUUUUUGCCCCACGGAGGAGACCUAUCAUUCCUUCAUUGAAAAUACCAGUGUGGUAGGACUGUUAAAGCCCCACAUGACUUGACUUUUUUGACAUACCUAAGAGCACUUUGGAACUGAAACUGACUUGAGACUACCCUGUUUGACUGAAGCCAGCUGAACUGACCACAACAAAGGAACAACAUUGAAUUUAAAUGAACAGACCAAAGGAAUCCUAAACUCUGUUACACUUCAGAGACAUUUUCUUCCAUUGCAAGUGAAAUAUGUUAAGUAACCAGUUUCAUGGGAUUUAUGUCAUGUGUUCAAACAGUGUUAUUGUUGCACUGAGUGCAUUAAUUACGGCAUCCACUGGUUAAUUAACACUAGACUGUUGGUUUAGAGAGGAAACUUUUUGUUUAUUUGUUUUCUACAGAAGUCUUUUAAUAUAUUUUAAGUGGAAAGUACCCUCUGGCUCCAGUUGCUUAUUGUGUCUGUCAUUCUCAUAUGGACUUAGAUACUGGUCCUAAAUAUGUUUGAGUACUCUGAACCCUAGGUGGGUUACAUAAUAACAUUUUUUUUAAAAUAAAAAAUAAAUAAAGUAGUAAAUAUCUGAAGAUCCGUGAUCCCAGAUACUUUACAAAAGGCCAAAAAUAUAUUAGGAUAACUGAAAUAAACAACUUCUACCACAUAGAUUAUAACCUGAGAUGCCCUGCGACAUAAUAUCUGCACUGAACUGGCCUCACUGAUACUCUUUUAUGAUGCUGUCACUCUUUUCCAUUAUGUCUUGGCUUAAACACUGUGUUGCUGCUGCCUCAUACGUUCAUUUAUUAUUUAUGACAGAAAUGAUCAUUAAGCACAAAGGGGGGCCCAAUUGUGUACUUACAAUACUUUCCCACAGUUGAACAAACAGCCUAACAUGGCGGGGGAUACAGCCAUUGUUAAGGUCUCAAUGUAGAAAGUAUUCACAACUGCUGUCUGGAGGCCGUAACUCUCAUGGUUGAGUUGACAUAAAUCAUUGUUUUUUACAACAGCCUAUAAAUUCAUAUGAUGGUAACUCAGAUCUAAGUAGGUAGUUGGCAAAAUUUUUGCUCCAUCUCAGCUGCCACUGGUAGCCUGGCAGUGUCGAGCAGAUGGCGCUUUAUGUAUUUAUAAUUGUCCAAACAUUGUAAGAACCUCUCUGUAUUUGGAUCCUGUGCACACUAAUUAGCUUGAUGGAUAUAAAUAAAGUGCUUAAAAUUUAGCACAUCAUGAAAA